AGAGUUUGAUCCUGGCUCAGGACGAACGCUGGCGGCGCGCUUAACACAUGCAAGUCGAGCGAGAACCUGGGCUUCGGCCCUGGGGACAGCGGCGAACGGGUGAGUAACACGUGGGUAAUCUGCCCUUGACAUCGGGAUAGCCGGGAAACCCGGAUUAAUACCGAAUAGCCUCCGGAGCCUUCGGGCGCCGGAGAAAAGGUAGCUUCGGCCUCUGGUCGAGGAUGAGCCCGCGGCGGAUUAGCUUGUUGGCGGGGUAACGGCCCACCAAGGCGACGAUCCGUAGCUGGUCUGAGAGGACGAUCAGCCACACUGGGACUGAGACACGGCCCAGACUCCUACGGGAGGCAGCAGUGGGGAAUCUUGCGCUAAUGCGGGAAACCGUGACGCAGCGACGCCGCGUGGGGAAGAAGGCCUUCGGGUUGUAAACCUCUUUCAGGAGGGACGAAGCUACUCGGGUUAAUAGCCCAGAGGGUGACGGUACCUCCAGAAGAAGCCCCGGCUAACUACGUG
rnacentral:rRNA from 1 species